UUUUUCCAAACCAGAAGAUGAUAAAGCACUUCCCACUACUGGAUGAAGACAAAAGAGAGUGUCAUCAAUGCUGCAGCAGCCCAUGAGCACUGGGAUUUCAUACCCUCUGAGCAAGGUCAAGCUUGGUAUUUUCCACCUUGGCGGCGUUACAUCCCUGCAGCAGGGAUAGGAAAAUGGAAUCCAUGUAGCUGUCACAGCAAAGCCAGCUCCCAGGUUUUGCAGCGCUGCCACCCUUUCAUCACAUUGCACCUCUGCCGCCUUGUUGUAUGCUUCUGUUGGUCUAAAGAAGGUGCUGCGCAUCAUCAUCUCUUUCCACUCCCUGGCACCAGACCACUUCCCCUGCAGGCUCCUACUAAGGGAGAAAACUGGAAGUUCAACAAGAACAACUUAAAACAGGACAAAAGAACAAUCAUGAAAUGAAAGAGGUACUGAAAAAACACACUCAGAAAAACCUGUUGGUCAACAUCAGUUUUUUCAGCUCUUCUUGUCAAAGCUUCAGCUUUUGCUAGAGUGUACAGGAGAAAGGUCAGGAAUAAUUGUGAGGGCUGGAACCCACAGAGUAUAAAGAUUCCCAUUAAAUAUUUUGUCUUGCAGCCAGCUGUUUCCUGACAUAAACUGGGCACAAUCCUUGUUAGCCCACUGCUCUACCACAAUUUUAAUCUGGAGACUCAUGAAACAACUCAGCAAGAUGAGAAAACUAAAUAAUUUGAAAAAUAUUUUUAUGGUAAAUUUAUAUUUCAGUAACAUAUGGAUGCAGAACAAGAUCUCAGGAAGCAUUUUAUUAUGGACUUUGUGAAAAUUAGUAAAAGCAGUUCAAACUGGCUAAAAUGUUGCAGCAUUCUCCGAAUUGCUACUACAGGGUUUGUUUUCACUAUAUAUCAGGUCGUUUGUGUUUCAGAAGUGUAAAUGAUCUUUGGAGUUGAAUA